GAUGAAGAACGUAGCGAAAUGCGAUAAGUAAUGCGAAUUGCAGAAUUCCAGUGAGUCAUCGAAUCUUUGAACGCACAUUGCGCCCGCCAGUAUUCUGGCGGGCAUGCCUGUCUGAGCGUCAUUUCAACCCUCAUGCCCCUAGGGCGUGGUGUUGGGGAUCGGCCAAAGCCCGCGAGGGACGGCCGGCCCCUAAAUCUAGUGGCGGACCCGUCGUGGCCUCCUCUGCGAAGUAGUGAUAUUCCGCAUCGGAGAGCGACGAGCCCCUGCCGUUAAACCCCCAACUUUCCAAGGUUGACCUCAGAUCAGGAAGGAAUACCCGCUGAACUUAAGCAUAUCAAUAAGCGGAGGA
rnacentral:misc_RNA from 1 species